rnacentral:rRNA from 1 species
GAUGAACGCUGGCGGCGUGCCUAAUACAUGCAAGUCGAGCGAACAGACGAGGAGCUUGCUCCUCUGACGUUAGCGGCGGACGGGUGAGUAACACGUGGAUAACCUACCUAUAAGACUGGGAUAACUUCGGGAAACCGGAGCUAAUACCGGAUAAUAUAUUGAACCGCAUGGUUCAAUAGUGAAAGACGGUUUUGCUGUCACUUAUAGAUGGAUCCGCGCCGCAUUAGCUAGUUGGUAAGGUAAAGGCUUACCAAGGCAACGAUGCGUAGCCGACCUGAGAGGGUGAUCGACCAGACUGGAACUGAGGCACGGUCCAGACUCCGACAGUGAGCAGCGGUAGGGAAUCUUCCGCGAUGGGCGAAAGCCUGACGGAGCAACGCGGCGUGAGUGAUGAAGGUCUUCGGAUCGUAAAACUCUGUUAUUAGGAAAGAACAAAUGUGUAAGUAACUAUGCACGUCUUGACGGUACCUAAUCAGAAAGCCACGGCUAACUACGUG